AUUGAGCGCUGGCGGCAUGCCUUACACAUGCAAAUCGAACGGUAACGGGCCUUCGGGUGCCGACGAGUGGCGAACGGGUGAGUAAUACAUCGGAACGUGCCCGAUCGUGGGGGAUAACGAGGCGAAAGCUUUGCUAAUACCGCAUACGAUCUACGGAUGAAAGCAGGGGACCGCAAGGCCUUGCGCGGACGGAGCGGCCGAUGGCAGAUUAGGUAGUUGGUGGGAUAAAAGCUUACCAAGCCGACGAUCUGUAGCUGGUCUGAGAGGAUGAUCAGCCACACUGGGACUGAGACACGGCCCAGACUCCUACGGGAGGCAGCAGUGGGGAAUUUUGGACAAUGGGCGCAAGCCUGAUCCAGCCAUGCCGCGUGCAGGAUGAAGGCCUUCGGGUUGUAAACUGAUUUUGUACGGAACGAAAAGCCUUCUUUUAAUACAGGAGGGUCAUGACGGUACCGUAAGAAUAAGCACCGGCUAACUACGUG
rnacentral:rRNA from 1 species